AGUAAAAAUGGCGGAUUCAGUUCUGGUAGAUUCAACGUGAAGACUACAUACGGUAUUUUCUGGCCAAACAAUGAUCUAAACACGAGACUGAAUUCAGUGGAAUGUACUGGUGAUUCGGAGCGUAGAAGUCCAUAUUCCUCCAAAUUUGUGCCGCUGGAAUUGUAGGAACAUCUUUUCUUGAUUGAGCGGAAGGAUCAGUCUCACCCUCAAUCUGUUGUUUUUUCUUUGAAGGGCAUGUUCGCAUGUUAUGUCCAUCUCGGCCACAUUCUCUACAAGCUAAUGUAUUUUUUCCAGACCUUCUCAACUUUUUUACCUCUUUCGCGCACUUAACACUUUCUCUAGGUGCUUUUCUUCGUUUUCUUUUCGGUCUGCCUGGUAGUGUAAUUGCUCCAGGUGCAUUGACAAUUGGUUUAUCGGUCCGUGGCCAAAAUUGAGGACUCUUCACCGGUUCUAAAAUAUUCUUGUAUGCUGUUAUGAACAUUUCUUUUGAAUAAUAUUUAUGAACAUAAGCCUCCGGAUUCCUCCC